GGAUGUGGGGUUGCUUAGACAACCAGGAUGUUGGCUUAGAAGCAGCCACCAUUGAAAGAGUGCGUAAUAGCUCACUGGUCGAGUGACCCCGCGCCGAAAAUGUACCGGGGCUAAACAUAUUACCGAAACUGUGGAUGAACCUCUUUAGAGGUUCGUGGUAGGAGAGCGUUCUAAGGGCGGUGAAGUCAGACCGGAAGGACUGGUGGAGCGCUUAGAAGUGAGAAUGCCGGUAUGAGUAGCGAAAGAAGGGUGAGAAUCCCUUCCACCGAAUAUCUAAGGUUUCCUGAGGAAGGCUCGUCCGCUCAGGGUUAGUCGGGACCUAAGCCGAGGCCGAUAGGCGUAGGCGAUGGACAACAGGUAGAGAUUCCUGUACCAGUGCUAAUUGUUUAACCGAUGGGGUGACACAGAAGGAUAGGGAAUCGCACGAAUGGAAAUGUGCGUCCAAGCAGUGAGUGUGAGAA
rnacentral:rRNA from 1 species